GUCGACAUAGCUCAGUCGGUAGAGCAGGGGAUUGAAAAUCCCCGUGUCCUUGGUUCGAUUCCGAGUCCGGGCACCA
rnacentral:tRNA from 1 species